AGUUUGAUCCUGGCUCAGAUUGAACGCUGGCGGCAGGCCUAACACAUGCAAGUCGAGCGGUAGAGAGAAGCUUGCUUCUCUUGAGAGCGGCGGACGGGUGAGUAAUGCCUAGGAAUCUGCCUGGUAGUGGGGGAUAACGUUCGGAAACGGACGCUAAUACCGCAUACGUCCUACGGGAGAAAGCAGGGGACCUUCGGGCCUUGCGCUAUCAGAUGAGCCUAGGUCGGAUUAGCUAGUUGGUGGGGUAAUGGCUCACCAAGGCGACGAUCCGUAACUGGUCUGAGAGGAUGAUCAGUCACACUGGAACUGAGACACGGUCCAGACUCCUACGGGAGGCAGCAGUGGGGAAUAUUGGACAAUGGGCGAAAGCCUGAUCCAGCCAUGCCGCGUGUGUGAAGAAGGUCUUCGGAUUGUAAAGCACUUUAAGUUGGGAGGAAGGGUUGUAGAUUAAUACUCUGCAAUUUUGACGUUACCGACAGAAUAAGCACCGGCUAACUCUGUGCCAGCAGCCGCGGUAAUACAGAGGGUGCAAGCGUUAAUCGGAAUUACUGGGCGUAAAGCGCGCGUAGGUGGUUAGUUAAGUUGGAUGUGAAAUCCCCGGGCUCAACCUGGGAACUGCAUUCAAAACUGACUGACUAGAGUAUGGUAGAGGGUGGUGGAAUUUCCUGUGUAGCGGUGAAAUGCGUAGAUAUAGGAAGGAACACCAGUGGCGAAGGCGACCACCUGGACUGAUACUGACACUGAGGUGCGAAAGCGUGGGGAGCAAACAGGAUUAGAUACCCUGGUAGUCC
rnacentral:rRNA from 3 species